rnacentral:lncRNA from 1 species
CCAGCAGUGCGCUGUUCCGGGGGGCACAUGUGUCCACUGGACGAUGAGCGAUGUACAGAAGAUGACGUCGACUGGAAGACUUUCCUGCUGAGAAUGUGAUGAAGAGACAGAUGCCGAUGCUGCAACCUACUUAGCUCUCCUGCCUCCAAACGUCCAGUCACCCAAAGGAGAGUUUGUCUGGCAUGAGUGCACGAUUACCCCGUGGGACAAGUAAAAGAAAAAAAA